ensembl:lncRNA
UAAAUAUUGGUUGUCAGUUCCAGUUGCACUGUGAUAUAUUUUUGCUUUUCUUUUUAUUCUUCUUUCAUUUUCAUCAGUGUGAAUAUAUCACUAGUGCCUUGUCAUAAUAUUUAACUGUAUUUUUACCAGGGUGAAUGGCUGCUGAUGAGCUACAAAGCACUCUUACUGGAGGCUGAUACUGUUACUGCAGUGUGACCACACUGCAAUAGGCAGGUGUAUGAGUGAUUACAUACAUUUGGCUCUGAUCCCUCGCAGACAAAGCCCACUUAAGACAAGGCUAAUUUCAUGGGUGAGAUGAAUUCAGGAUCACUUUCUCCACUGUAAAGACAUCCCAGUAGACCAUUAGACCACGUUUCUACAGAAGAUUAAGUACAUUGUUGAUCGAAGGGUUUAAGCAAACUGCACUGAAUCAAGGGGUAAUUGUGUUGCGGUGAGUUCUGAUGUGGUGUGGUUGUAAUCUCAUAUUCCUC